rnacentral:lncRNA from 1 species
AAUAAUUGGCAUAUCUCGCAAUUCAUAUAAUAAAUCAUAUCAUCAUAAUUUAACCAAAUAUUUGGAACCAUAAGAUGUCAAAACCUAUAUUAUAGAACCAAAUUUAAAACUAAAUUCUUUAAACAUAUAUUAUGGUUAACAUGAAUUUACAUCAAAAUACCCACAAAAUUAAAUAUAUAUCCAAAAAAAAUGUAAAACUAAUUCAACAAAUACUUGCACAUAUACCUAUUGAAAAUUCUUUUAAUGCAUUAGUAUUUUGAAAGCGGAUAUAGUCAAACUAAAAUAAUGUGUAUAAUCCCUUGGGGAGCUUACACCCAAAGAUUGGAUCUUUCUUAAUAUUGAUGGUGCUGUUUCAAGAACAUCAAGAAGAGCAGCUGCUGGAGGAGUGGUACGGGAUGGUACUAGCCAUUGGGUGAUGGGUUAUAACAGAUUCCUAGGGAAUUGUUCGAUUUUUGAUGCAGAACUCUGGGGCAUUCUGGAUGGCUUGAAACUCAUCCAACGUAGAGGUCAUAGAAACGUGAUUAUUCAUUCAGAUAGCUUGGAGGUAGUCAAAGCUAUUCAUGAUAAUGCUUCGAAGAGCUCGACUUUUGCUCUGAUCAGGAGAAUACACCAGAUUUUGUCCCAAAAAAGUCAAUGGAUUUUAAGAUACAUUCCCAGGGAGGAGAAUCAAUGUGCAGACUAUCUUGCUAAAUUGGCUCUUGAAAGAGAGGAAGAUUUACAACUGAUUAAGAUUUCCCCAGAUGCAGUUUUAGAUUUCCUUAAGACAGAUAAAGAGAGGAUUUUUGCUCCUCUCGAUUAUUCCAUGUAAUCUUAAUUUUAUUUUUUUUUUCAAAAAAAAUGUGUAUAAUCACAUUAAUUACUAAAAACUUUCUCAGACCAACACCUUUAAAUUACUAAAUAAUCAAAUAGAAAUUGAAACAUAAGUAAACCCCAAAAUAUAUACUUAAAGAUUUUAACAAAACUAUAUAUCUACGAUAUCUUAAAAAAGAAUAGUAGACUGAUAUUAUAGAUGCAUGUACCUUGACAGCAUGUAUUUAUCCAAUUAUCAACUGAAUUCACCUAAAUCUAUGCCAUUACAAAUCACAUACAUUGAAUGUAUUCCAAAAUAAUAUAUAUAUAGAUUAAUCAAAUAAAAAACCGAAAAAAAAACAGAAACUCGUGUGCUUAAUUGAUAACCCAUGGAAACAGAAAAUUGCUUCGACUUUUCAAAGAAAAAAAAUCAACCUAAACUGCAUUUGAAUUUUCAAUUAAAUUGUUUUAGUACCAAACGAAAAACUAAACUAAUGGAGGAAAUCAAUAUAUGAAUUUUAUUGUAAAUUACCUCAACCAUUAAUACUCAUAUAUCAAUUAAAUUAAAUCACAUUAUCUUCCUACAUUAAUAAAACUUUAAAAAAUUUAAUCAAUAAAAAAAAACCCAAAAAUUCAACAUGAUAUAUAAUUGAAAUAUUAGAUCUAUAAAAUUUGAAAAUCGAAUCAAUCCAAAUUAAUAGAGAACCGAUUUUUUCUCAAUGAUUUAACAUAACAAGGCUUUGAUACCGCUUAUUAGAUUUUUUAAAUAUUAAUAUAAAAUUAAAAUUGUAAAUCAGGAUAUGUCAUGUCAAAUAAUCAAUAAUAAAUCAAGAAUAAAACUAAAUGCAAAAGCGUACCUGAAUUCUUCGAUUUCUUGAAAUCUACAUAUCUUAAGGUUUUGAUAUUUCAAAUUAGCAUAUAAGUAAUCUAGAGAAUGUGACUCUCUUUUUCUAAAGAUUGGGAUAUUAAAAAAGUUAUAUUGUGUGUAAUUUAGGGACCAUAACCCUAAUAUAUAUAACUUUGGCACAUUAGUCUUAAUUUCUAAUUAUCCCAUCAUCAAUUAGAAAUUACUUACUAGAGUAUCUACACAUAUUUGACUCGUACUUUAUUUAAUAAUUAAAGUCUAAUAAACCUUAACCAAAUUAGACCACUUUUAAUUUGGACUAACCUAUCAUCAUUGUAAAAAAUAACAUGUAAUUACCCUUAUUAUAUAUGCGAUGUCCAUAUUUUACAAUAAUUUUAACUUCAAUAAGUAUGCGAGCUGUUGCAUGAUUUGCCAUCUUGCAACAAGUAUGUAUUAUCUUUGGAUCUAGGCCCAUUUGUUUUGGAUAUGUAGAUAAACAAAACGAAAUAAAUCGAAAGAUAACAUAGAAAACUGUCCUAUGAAACUAUUAAAUCAACUUGUGAUUAAAUUCCUUGCGGGACUUUUACAAAACUUACCUUUAGAAUCGUCAAUGGCCGAAGAAUGACGGAGAAUCAAGUACGCCAGAACUCCAAAACAUAUCCUUCUGUCCCACGAACUAACUUGAUUAAUUACCAUACAUGGAACAUUUCAAUUCAUUAUUUGGUCAAAUAUAAGCUGAUUGAGGGGGUGUUGGUUUAUCUUUGGACAGUGCUGUGUCUAUUGUGUUGGUGUUUGGUUUUGUAUCGACUCUUGUUAUAAUUUCUUGGUUAGUUUCAAUUUUGGGGGCUUACUAAAGCUCUAUUUUGACUGAAGAAAAAUAUAGGUUGAUCGAGCCUUAGCUCAAUCAUGGAUAGGAUUCCAAAAUUUGGCCAAUUUCAUUGGUUGGUGAAUAUCCUAUGGGGGAAAGAGGGACUGUGGACAAUAACCAACUGGUGACAACCUUUUCGUAUUGAAAUUCUGGUACGAGAAUGAUAGGAACAUGGUGUUGGAGCUUGGACCAUGGCACAUACAAAACUGGACCAUGGCACAUACAAAACAAGCCAAUAAGGCAAUGACAUUGACAAGCAGACAAGGCAAUGACAUUGACAACCCAGCAAGAUAUCUUUGGUGUUUCAACAUGUCUAUUUGAAUCCAAAAAGCAACAUCCGAUCAGAGCUAUUCAGGGAGAGAGGCUUAAGCUAGAUGACUAGUGCAGUAGGAACCACAUUGUAUAUGGACAUGGUAACUGCAAAUUGAGAACGAGUAGAGGAUGCCAAGAUAUGUGAUUAUUAGGAUCACAUGAAUUAUAUCAC